UCAAGUUAUUAAGGGUGCAGGGCGGAUGCCUUGGCACUAGGAGCCGAUGAAGGACGUGAUAAGCUGCGAUAAGCUUCGGGGAGUUGCACGUAAACUUUGAUCCGAAGAUUUCCGAAUGAGGAAACUCACUUAGAGUAAUGUCUAAGUAUCAUUAAGUGAAUACAUAGCUUAAUGAGGGGAACUCAGGGAACUGAAACAUCUAAGUACCUGAAGGAAGAGAAAGAAAUUCGAUUCCGUAAGUAGCGGCGAGCGAACGCGGAUUAGCCCAAACCAAUAAAGUUUUCUUUAUUGGGGUUGCGGACAUAUCAUAACGGAGAGGUAUCGUAAUUGAAGAGGUUUGGAAAGACCCACCACAGAAGGUAAUAGUCCUGUAUGUUAAAUGAGAAGACUUUAGAUAUGAUCCAGAGUACCACUGGACACGUGAAACCCUGUGGGAAGCAGGAGGGACCACCCUCCAAGGCUAAAUACUACCUAGUGACCGAUAGCGUAUAGUACCGUGAGGGAAAGGUGAAAAGAACCCCGGGAGGGGAGUGAAAUAGAACCUGAAACCCUGCACUUACAAGCUGUGGAAGCACAUUUCUUGUGUGACCGCGUACUUUUUGUAGAACGGGCCAACGAGUUACGUUAAGUAGCAAGGUUAAGCACUUAAGGUGCGGAGCCGUAGCGAAAGCGAGUUUUAACUGAGCGUUCAGUUACUUGACGUAGACCCGAAACCGGGCGACCUACCCAUGAGCAGGAUGAAGCGAAAGUAAAAUUUCGUGGAGGUCCGAACCCACGAGCGUUGAAAAGCUCGGGGAUGACUUGUGGGUAGCGGUGAAAUUCCAAUCGAGCCCGGAGAUAGCUGGUUCUCCCCGAAAUAGCUUUAGGGCUAGCCUCAAGGUGAGAGAUACGGAGGUAGAGCACUGAAUGUCCUAGGGGGUAUUGCACCUACCGAAGACUAUCAAACUCCGAAUGCCGUCAUCUUAUACUUGGGAGUCAGACUGUGGGUGAUAAGAUUCAUAGUCGAAAGGGCAACAGCCCAGAUCGUCAGCUAAGGUCCCUAAAUGUAAGUUAAGUGGUAAAGGAUGUGGGAUUGCACAGACAACCAGGAUGUUGGCUUAGAAGCAGCCACUCAUUCAAAGAGUGCGUAAUAGCUCACUGGUCGAGUGAUCCUGCGCCGAAGAUUUCCGGGGCUAAAACUUACUACCGAAGCUACGGCAUCAGUAAUGAUGGGUAGGGGAGCUUCCCAUACGGGUUGAAGCAUGACCGUAAGGACAUGUGGACAGUAUGGGAGUGAGAAUGUUGGCAUGAGUAGCGAGAUGUGGGUGAGAAUCCCACAGGCCGUAAACCCAAGGUUUCCAGGGGAAGGUUCGUCCGCCCUGGGUUAGUCGGGACCUAAGCUGAGGCCGAAAGGCGUAGGUGAUGGACAACAGGUUGAUAUUCCUGUACUACCGAUAACCGUUUGAGAGAAGGGAUGACACAGUAGGAUAAGCUAAGCACACUGUUGGUUAUGUGUGCCCAAGCAUUGAGGCAGUCAAAGUAGGCAAAUCCGCUUUGAUAAUGCUGGGAUGUGAUGGGGAGCGAAAUUUAGUAGCGAAGUAGCUGAUUUCACACUGUCAAGAAAAGUCUCUAUCGAGGUUAAAGGUACCCGUACCGCAAACCGACACAGGUGGGUGAGGAGAGUAUCCUAAGGCCAGCGAGAGAACUGUUGUUAAGGAACUCGGCAAAAUGACCCCGUAACUUAGGGAUAAGGGGUGCCACCAUCAGGUGGCCGCAGAGAAUAGGCCCAAGCGACUGUUUACCAAAAACAUAGGUUUCUGCUAAGUCGCAAGAUGAUGUAUAGGAGCUGACGCCUGCCCGGUGCUGGAAGGUUAAGGGGAUCUGUUAGAGCAAUCGAAGCAGUGAACUUAAGCCCCAGUAAACGGCGGCCGUAACUAUAACGGUCCUAAGGUAGCGAAAUUCCUUGUCGGGUAAGUUCCGACCCGCACGAAAGGCGUAACGAUUUGGGCACUGUCUCAACAACAGACUCGGUGAAAUUGUAAUUCCGGUGAAGAUGCCGGAUACCUGCGACAGGACGGAAAGACCCCAUGGAGCUUUACUGUAGCUUGACAUUGGGUUUUGGUACUACAUGUACAGGAUAGGUGGGAGGCUUUGAAACCAGGACGCCAGUUUUGGCGGAGCCAUCCUUGGGAUACCACCCUUGUAGUACUGGGACUCUAACCAUAGGCCAUGAA
rnacentral:rRNA from 1 species